ensembl:lncRNA
GUUGAUUUUAAAUUUAAUGGCAUCAACACAUCUCAAAAAAGUUGGGACAAGGCCAUGUUUACCACUGUGUGGCAUCCCCUCUUCUUUUUAUAACAGUCUGCAAACGUCGGGGGACUGAGGAGACAAGUUGCUCAAGUUUAGGAAUAGGAAUGUUGUCCCAUUCUUGUCUAAUCCAGGCUUCUAGUUGCUCAACUGUCUUAGGUCUUCUUUGUCGCAUCUUCCUCUUUAUGAUGCGGCAAAUGUUUUCUAUGGGUGAAAGAUCUGGACUGCAGGCUGGCCAUUUCAGUACCCAGAUCCUUCUUAUACACAGCCAUGAUGUUGUAAUUGAUGCAGUAUGUGGUCUGGCAUUGUCAUGUUGGAAAAUGCAUCCCUGAAAGAGACGACGUCUGGAUGGGAGCAUAUGUUGUUCUAGAACUUGGAUAUACCUUUCAGCAUUGAUGGUGCCUUUCCAGAUGUGUAAGCUGCCCAUGCCACACGCACUCAUGCAACCCCAUACCAUCAGAGAUGCAGGCUUCUGAACUGAGCGCUGAUAACAACUUGGGUUGUCCUUGUCCUCUUUAGUCCGGAUGACAUGGCGUCCCAGUUUUCCAAAAAGAACUUCAAAUUUUGAUUCGUCUGACCACAGAACAGUUUUCCACUUUGCUGCAGUCCAUUUUAAAUGAGCCUUGGCCCAGAGAAAACAUCUGCGCUUCUGGAUCAUGUUUAGAUAUGGCUUCUUUUUUGACCUAUAGAGUUUUAGCCGGCAAAGGGCGAAUGGCAUGGUGGAUUGUGUUCACGACAAUGUUUUCUGGAAGUAUUCCUGAGCCCAUGUUGUGAUUUCCAUUACAGUAGCAUUCCUGUAUGUGAUGCAGUGCCGUCUAAGGGCCUGAAGAUCACGGGCAUCCAGUAUGGUUUUCCGGCCUUGACCCUUACGCACAGAGAUUGUUCCAGAUUCUCUGAAUCUUUGGAUGGUAUUAUGCCCUGUAGAUGAUGAUAACUUCAAACUCUUUGCAAUUUUUCUCUGAGAAACUCCUUUCUGAUAUUGCUCCACUAUUUUUCGCCGCAGCAUUGGGGGAAUUGGUGAUCCUUUGCCCAUCUUGACUUCUGAGAGACACUGCCACUCUGAGAGGCUCUUUUUAUACCCAAUCAUGUUGCCAAUUGACCUAAUAAGUUGCAAAUUGGUCCUCCAGCUGUUCCUUAUGUGUACAUUUAGCUUUUCCGGCCUCUUAUUGCUACCUGUCCCAACGUUUUUGGAAUGUGUAGCUCUCAUGAAAUCCAAAAUGAGCCAAUAUUUGGCAUGACAUUUCAAAAUGUCUCCCUUUCAAUAUUUGAUAUGUUAUCUAUAUUCUAUUGCGAAUAAAAUAUAAGUUUAUGAGAUUUGUAAAUUAUUCCAUUCCUUUUUUACUCACAAUUUGUACAGUGUCCCAACUUUUUUGGAAUCGGGUUUUUAUAUAUAUGUUUUUAAAUUCUUUUAGAAACUUUUUUUUUUUUUGGUUAUGUGAACAUUAGGAGAACAUUACUUUUAAAUGUUCUCUGAACGCUCUGAAUGCUUUUUUUUUUUAAUCUUACAUGAACAUUAAUAAGCUAAUGUUUUGAGAACAUUAUCAAAGACUAAUUUCUGCCGUAUACACAUAAACUGACAGUCACCACUGAUAAGCUACUACUAAAUAUUGUAGAAACUUAAUUUUCUGUAAAGUUUCUUUGCAAUGAUUUGUAUCGUAAAAAGCGCUAUACAAAUAAACUUGAAUUGAAUUGAACUAAUAAAGACCUUAAAAACUCUGAACAAACUGUCUAUUUUUGUGAGUGAAAGAAUGUUUGUUCAUACCUUGAGGAACAUUUCUUGUUCACUAGGUAAACAAUGACAGCAUUUUACCCCGACAAUGCAAUUUUAACCAGGUGCAACUUAUUUUUCAGAAAAUGGAGUAGACUGAAACUACUUUUUACAGAUACUUUGCAAUAUUAAGUGAAUUUUUAUAUUUAUAAUAAACAUUUCACACUUCUGCUUUUUUUGAUUAGGGUGACCAUACAUCCUCAUUUUCCCAGACUGAACAUAUCCUAGCCAGGAUUUCUAUAAUGGCUAAAAUGUGUAGGUUUGGCUUUUUUUUUUUUUUUUCCUAUUAACAUUCUUU